GCAGUGGUGGUUCAGUGGUAGAACUCUUGCUUUUCAUGCGGGAGACCCGGGUUCCAUUCCCAGCCAAUGCU
rnacentral:tRNA from 1 species